GGAAUUAGUUGGCUGAUCAUUUAACAAAUUUAGCAAUAGACAAAGGGAUUUCAGCAUAACAUCAUUUCAAUAAUUAUAAGUUAAAGGAAAGAAGAUCCUUAACAGUGAAAAGCUACAAUGUCCAUACAUUAGAUUAUCAUUAACAAAACGAUGAUAAGAUUGAAGGCCACAGUAAAGUACUACCAGGGAUCACAAGCAAACAUUUAUAAUACAGGAGGGCAAUAACAAAACCCAAAAACUGACUUACCUGUAUAAAUUCAUCCAUAAAAAAGACUCUUAGUAAUAUCUAUGCAUCUAAUACACCUGAGAAGUAGAAGGUAGUUCAAAUAUUUAUGGCUCCGAGUAUCCAGUUAUCUCCCUCCCAGCCACAUCUGUACGCAAAGAGGAGUAAAUAGGAAGCUACAAUUGAGAAAGAAGGAUAGAUAGAAGAAAUCAUAGUUUAUGUGGACAUGCAAUUAGUCUUAAGGACCUACGAUCCUUAAUUAAGCACCAAAAAAGAAGAAACAUUCCAUCCACCAAAGAACUCACCUAUAUACAAGCAGAAAUAGAGGAAAAAAGUUUAAAAAUGAAGAAGUUGAGAUGAAUAGUAAUAUUCAAAGGCAACAAAGGGAUAAAUUCUUACUUUUGAGAGAUGAAGAUAGUACAGUAUCGACGAUCUAGGGCAAAGUGUUGAUGACCCAAAGCACAAGCAAGAUAAAUUAAAGAUUCAGGGGAGAGCGCAUCAUUUUUCACCUGGAAAUGAGCUUAAUCAGCGGAGAAGAAGACAACAAAGUGAAUUAGGAAACCCUAAGGGACCUUGUAUACGUCUCAAUCAAUUAGGUUUGGC
rnacentral:lncRNA from 1 species